UGUUUUUAAAACCCUGGCCGUUUCUCUCGGUUCUCGCCAGCUCUCUCUUGGAAGAUAUUGCUUGAAUUCGACCUCAGUAUGCUUGCUAAAAUGGUAGUGGGUUGCAGAGAGGGCACCCAAACUCGCUUGAGACGUUGCAUGUGUUCUUCGUGCUGCUUCUGCUUGGAGGGCUCGUUGGUUUUUACUUCUACUUCACUGGCUAUGCUAAUGGGGAUCCUAACAACCGUAUGAGGGGGCAAUGGUGGAUUCGAUAUCUGACUACUUUCUGAAGGAGAGUUAUCAAGUAUGAAAGAUCCUCAGGACAAAUGGUGCAGUUUUACUAGUAUACUAUACUAUGCUUUCUAUCCUUAUAGAAAGUAUGGGCUUACUCUGCAGCAGAAACCCGUGUUUCAGUGAAGCUGAUGCUGAUGAAAAUGCUCAGGCUGCAGGAAUUGAGAGGUGGAUUUCUCAAGCAAUGAACGUUGAAAAGCAUAUACAGAAACUUCUAUUACUUGGUAUUUAUUAUCUACACAUUGGCUAUUGUUACUUAAUCUGCCAUUGCUCUAGCAAAUGGUGUUCUAGUAAGCUCAAUUAAGGCUCAUCCCCACUGUUUGUGGUCAGCUACACUACUGUUAAAAAAAUUAUGUUGCAUUUUAUUUGAUCACAUAGCCAAUAACUGAGGUUUCAUAGAGCUGCAAUGGAUAGAUUAGUUAGAGUCUUAAGGAUCAGAACCAUAGGUGCCUCGGUAAUGCUUUGAUGUCUUAAGAUGAGUAGUUGCUUUGAUGUUUAAGACGAAUAUAGCUAGAUGAUGAAGGAAAUGUAACUGUGAUAUGGAAAACAAGCCUUGGAUACAAAAAUUACGAGGAAUGUGGCUAGUAUACUUGUAAUAUGGUGCUCACCUUGGCACCAUGGUAAUUAUGAGAAUGUAGAACUGCACAGGAUUACUCAAAUAUGAGUGUUGCAGGUCUUCUUUGCUUGUUUUCUCUGCAGCUUCUUCAUCAAACUGUUUGGUUCUCUUUUGAAUGAACUUUUAUAAACCAUUUCAUCAUCUCAUCCCCUUUGGGAGAUUCCUUGUGACCUGAGAUUGCAUUGCUAGGAGUAGCAAGCAAUGUUAAACUUUAAUUGCUGGAGUGAUACCUACUGUUUCAGUCUCCUGAGCUCUGAAUAUAGUGUUUUGGCUGGAUACCACAUUGAGCAUAGGUAUAGUGCAUUUUCGCUGGGUGCCUGCCUCAUCAGGCAAAUGUGUUAUGUGCUAGUAGUAUAAAUACAGCUGUGCACUUUCUGUUUGCAAGAUAUGAAAUUAGAGGGAAAGUGAAUGUGGGAUUCUAAAAGCUCCAUUGAAACCCCCUACCCCCACCACCCCAAAAAAAAAAAAAAAAAAAAAAAUCCUAUAAUUUUCUUAGAUUCUGCCUCUGCAUCCUUUGUUGAUCAGGGACUACUCCUUUUGAGGAGAUUCCCUCUAGGCCUGCUGCAGAUAAAUUUAAGGCUAUAUUUCACUGCUCCGUUUCCUUUCCUGAUUCUCACAGUGCACAUAGACUAUAUAGGAUAACUAAUUUUUUAGCAGACUGAAGUUUAGUCAAAGCAUCUAUGGGACAUGUGGGUAACUGGGCCUAUCUAGGUGAGGUUCUAAUGCUCUUGGAGAAAGUAUGGACAUUCCACAAUGAUUAUCGGUGAUGCCUUUGUAAGCAAAAUUUAAAGUUCAUUUUUGUGAUACAAGUGAAAAACAAAAAGAUAAUAAAAGCAUGCUUGUGGCAGUUUUUAGUAUAAUAAUAAAUAUCAGAGUUUACCAUGUCCCAGUGCUUUUACAGCAUUGGUGAUGUCUAGGAAACCCAUGGUAUAAGGUUUUGUGAAAUAUCGCCAAUAUUUCAUGAAAAAUUUUGAUUUCGCAGGCUGUCAAAAUGAAACAGCCUGAUGUAUACACUUUCUUGACAUUAGAAAAUGUAGGUUUUCUAGCUGUCGUGCAACAAGUUUAUAUUAUAGUUUUGCAGCCCCCCCCCCCCCCUUCCUCUUUGGCCAAACAGAACUCAACUCAACUCGGCCUUAUCCCACUAGUGGGGUUGGCUACAUUGAUCCUUCAAAGCCAUGCUUGUUACCAGUCCUAAGCUAUGUAUGUCUUUCCUCAUCUCUUCUCAUAGAGUCAUUUUAGUCCUACCCCUGGAUCUCUUAGCUCUUUCAAUCUGAAUCAAGUCACACCUCCAUACCGGAGCUUUCAAAGGCCUCCGUUGCACAUUUCCAUGCCACCUUAAGCAACUUUCUUGUAACUUAUCAUGUAUCGGAGAAAGUCUUUGGAUUCAAUUUUUUUUGGAUAUCUUAGUGGCUCGAGAAAGUCUUUGGGUGCGAGUCUGGAGCAUAUUUUGAAAUGGUGCUAGAAUCCCUUGGUUGUUUACCAUCCAUAUUCCAUGUAACUUUUUUGGAUGUUGACUCUUAAUUGAAAACACUAAAGUAUCAGGUGGGAGUUGGCUAUUUACGACAUGGGUACUUGUAUCAAAUGGUGUUUGAAAAGAAGGUUCUUAAGGUACCUCUAGAUGCAUGUGAGUGGUUCGAACAUUACCAACCAAUAUCAGUAGGGAAGCAAGAGAUUGAGAUGCGUAUGAGAAUGAAUUGAGAAUAGAAAUGUGUUUGGAAAAUCCGGUUCAUUCUUUGUUCUGACGGAACGAACCGGAGAACAUCCUUUGGGUGGAAAUUACAUCAUGGCAAGCUUCCUAUGGAUGACAGAGUUAAGCAGAAAGGAAUAUCUCUCUCAUCUCGAUGUGAGUUGUGUCAGGAAGAAAUAGAGUCCUUAAAUCAUAGUUUUAUGGAGUGCAAUUAUGCAAGAUCAGUUUGGAAUUUUUUUGCAAAUUGUUUUGAUAUUACACGGCAGCCACACUCAUCUUUCUUCGAUCUGAGUCUACGGUGGAAACACAAAUCCAGGAUUAUUUCUUUGAAGGAGGCAUGGUUAUAUGGUUUGAUUCUGAUCCCAUAUUUUGUUUGGCUCGACAGAAUUUUGAGCCAUUUUGAAGGUAGACUGAGGAAUUCGGAUCUAAUUGGAAUUUGGUUAUAAGAGAAAUUAAAUCCUUGUCUCCAAAUUUCAAAGGUCGGAUUAUUUCAGUUGAUGAUUUAGUGUGUGCCAGACGAUUGGGAUUGGUAAGCUUGUGCUUCAAAGGUCUCAGGUCACUGUGGAGGUCUUCUAGUGUCCUCUGGAGUUCAGUAGAGUUGAGCUUAUUGUUGAUUGUUGUUCCUUUGGAAACCCAGGAAAGGCUGGAGCAGGUGGUGUUCUUCGGGAUGACUAGGCUAGGAUUAUUUUCUCAUUUUGGAAAUUUCUAGGAAUCAAGACAAACUUUGAAGCUGAAUUUUGGGCGCUAAUUGACGGAUUAGAGGCUGCAAAGGAUCGUGGAGUUUGUUGUGAUUUUGAUUUCCAAGGGCUUGGUGCCUUGGUAUGUGUGGCAAAACUGGUCAUCUCUCUAGUCUUUUCUUACUAAUAUUUGGGGGAAGGUAUCCCAUUGCUAUAGAGAGGCUAAUCCAAAUUGGCAGCAAGACUGGAAGAUUUUCCAUGAUAGUUUUCCUUUUAUCGAUUCAAAGUGAGUGCUCAAGGCUGAGGUUUUGGAUUACUGCGUAAUUGUUUUGUAGUUUGCCUGCGAGUUGGCCCCUCCUGCUGAUGUCCUGCUGAUGUCCUGCUGAUGUUAAUGCUGAAGGUUGGUGGGGGCUAGCUCGGCUUUGAUGUAGUUGUAUGUCUUGUAACAGUCUCUGUAUAUUCUUAUAUUUUUUCUUCCUUCCCUUUUUACAAGCUAGAAAGAACUACGAAGGAUGGCCUAGGUAGACUGAAGACCUGAAUACUAGUCGUUGGCGAGGAAAAAUUAUUUUGUAUUCCUGAUAGAAACUCC